UAUCUCCUUUUCCGUUAGCGGGUCAAAAUCUCUUUACGGA
rnacentral:tRNA from 1 species